rnacentral:rRNA from 1 species
UACGAAGGGUGCAAACGUUGCUCGGAAUUAUUGGGCGUAAAGCGCACGUAGGCGGCUUAGCAAGUCGGAAGUGAAAUCCCACGGCUCAACCAUGGAAGUGCUUUCGAAACUGCUGAGCUUGAGUACUAAAGAGGAUCGCGGAAUUCCCGGUGUAGAGGUGAAAUUCGUAGAUAUCGGGAGGAACACCAGUGGCGAAGGCGGCGAUCUGGGUAGAUACUGACGCUGAGGAACGAAAGCCAGGGGAGCAAACGGG